CAGGGCCCGGACAGGGGGCUGUCCCGCUGUGAGGAAGCUCUUGGCUUACCCUCCUCUGAGCCUCAGAGCUUGUGAGGUUAGUUCCUGGGUUCCCUGGGUGUGGGCAACCUCUAGCCCUGUUCAUCCCUUGCGUUUCAACAGUACCCCCAGGUGACCCCCACCCCUGAUGUUCCUGCUUUUCUAUUUUUAUUGUUGCUAAAUCACAGCUGACACUUUCCUGGCCUGAGACUGAGCCCUCCAGUCUCCAGCCAUUCCUUAUAGGAAGUAAGAACAGGGAAGUGGAUAGGGGAAACAGACCUUUCCAGAGGGAGAGGCUGGCAUAGGAAGGGCUGAGUCCCGUGGGUGUGUGCUGGCACCGACAGCCCCAUAGGCAGGGGCCUUCCCCCCGGCACCCUUCUCUCUCCCCACAGCUUCCCCCGCCCCGGAAAAGCUAGCAAGCCUUCCUUCCUUCCUCCGGGAAGCACAUCUAUCCAGAGCAGGCUCAUCCCCGGCGGCCACACAAUGGCCCUUAUCAGCCGUGGAGCCAGGCGUAGACCCAGUGCACACCAGGUCUCACUUAUUUCCUGUUUCCACCCAGUGGGUCGGGGUGGACCCAGAACGGCCAUAUCCUGACUGGGGCCCAGAGGACGGAGAGCACCCCCCAUUCCCCUUUCCGCCUCUCAAUCACUGCUGGGCUCACCCCUCCCACACAGGAGGCUGGGUGUGUGGCGACCUCAGUUCACCACGGGGGAGACUACUGAGACCGCUCUGCGGGUGGGUUCAGACCCCAUUCCUGUUUCUGGUCCUGUGGGAAACCACAGGUGCCUGGAACUUUGAAGAGACUGUACCACUUCUCUGAGCCUUGGCUUUCCCAUCUGCCCAAUGAAGGGUGCCAUGCAGUAACCCUCGUGAUGGCUGUGCAUGUGAGAAGGAACAGGUGGGCAAGUGAGGGCUUUGGAGGUCCCUAGGUAUAUGUGUUGGGGGCAGGGAUAGGUUACCAUGGGGGAAAACUCAGCAAGAAGGGGCUGAGGAGAAGUGGGGCAGAAAGAGAAGAUGGUGGCAUUCUGGACUGGUUAACGCAGGCAGAAGGCUCAACACCAGGGUAUGCAGAGCAGCGGGUCAGGAGGGAUGAACAAGAGCUCAUUUGACUUAACAGAGUACAUUAAGCGGCCACCGGCAUAGAUGGCAUGCUCCACCUGGUUAGGGCCCCAGAGGCUCACCAUUCUAGAACCUCAUCCUAGCCCCAGUCCUGGCCACUUCUGCAAAUCUCAGACACAGAAGUCUAGUUGGGAUCUACAGGGUCCCUGUUCCUGGAAUCUACAGCUAGUCCCAGGCCCAUCACCGUACCCCCACCCCCCAAUCAUCAGUCACACGCAAGUGUAAAAGCCACG
rnacentral:lncRNA from 1 species